rnacentral:tRNA from 1 species
GGUGUAUAGCUCAGUGGUAGAGCGCUCACUUAGCAUGCAGGAGGUCCUGGGUUCAAUCCCUAGUAACUCCA